rnacentral:piRNA from 1 species
AGCAAAGUCAAGCACAAUACCUGCCGC